rnacentral:rRNA from 1 species
CUAACUUAUGUUGUGUGCAUGGAAUAAUGGAAUAGGACCUCGGUUCUAUUUUGUUGGUUUUCGGAAUCUGAGGUAAUGAUCAAUGGGGACAGGCGGGGGCAUUCGUAUUGCGACGUUAGAGGUGAAAUUCUUGGAUCGUCGCAAGACGGACCGAAGCGAAAGCAUUUGCCAAGUAUGUUCUCGUCGAUCAAGAACGAAAGUUAGAGGUUCGAAGGCGAUCAGAUACCGCCCUAGUUCUAACCAUAAACUAUGCCUGCCAGCGAUCCGCCGAAGUUCCUCCGAUGACUCGGCGGGCAGCUUCCGGGAAACCAGAGCUUUUGGGUUCCGGGGGAAGUAUGGUUGCAAAGCUGAAACUUAAAGGAAUUGACGGAAGGGCACCACCAGGAGUGGAGCCUGCGGCUUAAUUUGACUCAACACGGGAAAACUCACCAGGCCCGGACACCGGAAGGAUUGACAGAUUGAGAGCUCUUUCUUGAUUCGGUGGGUGGUGGUGCAUGGCCGUUCUUAGUUGGUGGAGCGAUUUGUCUGGUUAAUUCCGAUAACGAACGAGACUCUAGCCUACUAACUAGGCGUACCCGGUAUCCACAAUCGUGCUACCGGCGAUCAAAUUUCUUCUUAGAGGGACAGGCGGCUUCUAGCCGCACGAGACUGAGCAAUAACAGGUCUGUGAUGCCCUUAGAUGUCCUGGGCCGCACGCGCGCUACACUGAAGGAAUCAGCGUGUCUUCCCUGUCCGAAAGGACCGGGUAAUCCGCUGAACCUCCUUUGUGCUAGGGAUUGGGGCUUGCAAUUGUUCCCCAGAACGAGGAAUCCCAGUAAGCGCGAUCAUUGCU